rnacentral:rRNA from 1 species
GAUGAACGUUGGCGGCGUGCUUAACACAUGCAAGUCGAACGAUGAAGCUAGAGCUUGCUCUGGUGGAUUAGUGGCGAACGGGUGAGUAACACGUGAGUAACCUGCCCCGAACUCUGGGAUAACUGCUGGAAACGGUAGCUAAUACCGGAUAUGACCAAUGAAGGCAUCUUCUGUUGGUGGAAAGAAUUUCGGUUCGGGAUGGACUCGCGGCCUAUCAGCUUGUUGGUGAGGUAACGGCUCACCAAGGCGACGACGGGUAGCCGGCCUGAGAGGGUGAUCGGCCACACUGGGACUGAGACACGGCCCAGACUCCUACGGGAGGCAGCAGUGGGGAAUAUUGCACAAUGGGCGCAAGCCUGAUGCAGCAACGCCGCGUGAGGGACGACGGCCUUCGGGUUGUAAACCUCUUUUAGUAGGGAAGAAGCGAAAGUGACGGUACCUGCAGAAAAAGCACCGGCUAACUACGUGCCAGCCGCCGCAGUAA